CGUUAUGUAAACUUCUGUCAUAGAGGAAGAACGGUGCGUGUAGGGAAUGACAUGCAAGUGACGGUACUCUAUAAGAAAGCCACGGCUAACUACGUGCCAGCAGCCGCGGUAAUACGUAGGUGGCGAGCGUUAUCCGGAAUUAUUGGGCGUAAAGAGGGAGCAGGCGGCACUAAGGGUCUGUGGUGAAAGAUCGAAGCUUAACUUCGGUAAGCCAUGGAAACCGUAGAGCUAGAGUGUGUGAGAGGAUCGUGGAAUUCCAUGUGUAGCGGUGAAAUGCGUAGAUAUAUGGAGGAACACCAGUGGCGAAGGCGACGAUCUGGCGCAUAACUGACGCUCAGUCCCGAAAGCGUGGGGAGCAAAUAGGAUUAGAUACCCUAGUAGUCCACGCCGUAAACGAUGAGUACUAAGUGUUGGGAGUCAAAUCUCAGUGCUGCAGUUAACGCAAUAAGUACUCCGCCUGAGUAGUACGUUCGCAAGAAU
rnacentral:rRNA from 1 species